UAGGGAAUCUUCCACAAUGGACGAAAGUCUGAUGGAGCAACGCCGCGUGAGUGAAGAAGGUUUUCGGAUCGUAAAGCUCUGUUGUUGGUGAAGAAGGAUAGAGGCAGUAACUGGUCUUUAUUUGACGGUAAUCAACCAGAAAGUCACGGCUAACUACUUGCCUG
rnacentral:rRNA from 1 species